rnacentral:rRNA from 1 species
UACGAAGGGGGGCUAGCGUUGCUCGGAAUUACUGGGCGUAAAGGGCGCGUAGGCGGAUAGUUUAGUCAGAGGUAAAAGCCCAGGGCUCAACCUUGGAACUGCCUUCGAUACUGGACAUCUUGAGUACGGGAGAGGUGAGUGGAACUCCGAGUGUAGAGGUGAAAUUCGUAGAUAUUCGCAAGAACACCAGUGGCGAAGGCGGACUUACUGGACCGGUUCUGACGCUGAGGCGCGAAAGCGUGGGGAGCAAACAGG